GGGUCAGUAGGCUGGUCGUGCCACCGGUACGUACUGGUCUCACUGAUUCCUCCUUCCCGAAGAACCGUAAUGCCAUUAAUUUGGUGUUGCGGGGAAACAGGACUGUUACUUUGAAAAAAUUGGAGUGUUCAAAGCAAGCUAACGCUUGAAUACAUUAGCAUGGAAUAAUGAAAUAGGACGAUCGAUCCUAUUUUGUUGGUUUCUAGGAUUGACGUA
rnacentral:rRNA from 1 species